CGGUCUGUCGCGUCUGCUGUGAUAUUCCGAGGCUCAACCUCGGGCUUGCAGUGGGUACGCGCAGACUAGAGUGCGGUAGGCGAGAUUGGAAUUCCUGGUGUAGCGGUGGUAUGCGCAGAUAUCAGGAGGAACACCGAUGGCGAAGGCAGAUCUCUGGGCCGUAACUGACGCUGAGGAGCGAAAGGGUGGCGAGCAAACAGGCUUAGAUACCCUGGUAG
rnacentral:rRNA from 1 species